AGGAGACGAUAGCGGCAGAAUUUUGACCGGGCCCUGAUCUGACGACCUGGAAUCUCUGGCCGAGGCCUGAUGAAAAUCCGGGGAGCUGAUCUUGUCCAUGCUUGAACCGUGCAGGUAUAACAAGCCAGGUGCUUCUUCUGGGAAGGAAAAGGGGGAAAAAUCUCCGGGAAUUUAUUUCCCGACUUCAGAAUUCUUCGGUAAAAGGUUCAGCACGCCGAGUCCAACAGGGGCAGGGGCCGGCGGCGGCGGCGGCGGCUGGUGAAUAGAACACGGCGAGAAAAAUUAGGGUUUGAGCCGCCUCUCUUUCUAUCGGAGAGAUGGAGGAGGAGGCGGAGGGGGGACGGGUGGAGGUGGGGCGGCCCGCGGUGGUGCUGGUGUGCGGGAGCCUGAUCUACUACCACUGCGCGUACCGGGAGUCAAGCCUCCUCUCCCUCGUCUCCGACGUCCUCAUCGUCCUUCUCUGUUCCCUCGCCAUCCUCGGCAUGCUUUUCCGCCAGAUGAACAUCUCGGUACCUGUAGAUCCUCUUGAAUGGCAGAUUUCUCAGGACACAGCCAAUUCAAUUGCUGCAUGCUUGGCUAAUACAAUAGGGGCAGCAGAGUCUGUGUUACGGGUUGCUGCAACAGGACAUGACAAGAGGCUAUUUUUGAAGGUGGUGCUUAUUCUAUACCUCCUAGCAGCUUUGGGACGAGUUGCUUCAGGUGCUACGGUGGCUUAUGCUGGAUUGUGCUUGCUUUGUAUGUACGCUUUUGCCCAAAAUUCCCAACUGAUCAAUAGGUGCAUUUCUCGGUUUUCAAAACGAAGAGACUCUACAGGUGGAGCUCAGGAUGCCAUAUAAGGGAUGGUCUAGUUUCAGAGCCACCUCAUCUGAAGAAAAACGAAAAAUUGUACAAGGGAGCUGCAGAUCGUACAAAAACCUGUGGCAGAGAACUUUCUCAUUCAUUGUCAUGGUGUUUGCAUCACAAACAUUCUGGAAUUUCAUCUCGGAAUAAGUAUUUGAUGUGAUGAAAUUAAAAUGAUGUGAAGUUUUAGUUAUACCUUCUCAUGCGCUUCAAAUCAGAAACGUUUGUGCUUUGUUCGCAUGACCCAGGCUCGAAUUCGAAUGAUUCGUCAUCUGACUGCUCAGAACCACUUGUUCCUCCUGGAGCUUGAUUCUCUCUACCUUUAGGCUUAUGAGCUGAAGUUGGGGUACCAGCUAUCAAAAAAUCAGUGUCAUGAUACAAUUAGAUCAUUCUAUUGCAUGCAAAAACUGGGAUCGAUCAUGGUAAAAGCCUUUGACCUACAAGCGCAAUGAUGCGGGUUCCAAUCCUAGGAGAACCAUUUGUAAAGAAAAAGAACCUGAAAGAUUAGUACUGUACCAUAACUACAUAAUGUUUUUCUUUAUUUUUUUUUAAAUUUUUAAGUAUGCAUAAACUGUGACCUGCAAAGAGGGCAGUGGGCAGGAAAAGGGAGCAGCUAUAGAAAGUAACAAGUAACUCAAACAAAGUGUUUCAUGGAUGUUAGAUGGUUAGAGAAGCCGGCCUGGUGAAGUUGAAUUCCCUCUGAUCUCAGUCAUGAGUAUCUUUCGCAAGAAAAAAUGGUUGAUUUUCCUCUUUUUAUGGCCUCAAUAAUUAUAUCUCAUUCUGCACAGAUUUCAAAGUAUCUUUUUAUUCAGCUGCUUGCAUGGUUAUCAAAGCAAUCAUUGCAUGAUCCAAUGAUGGAUUCGCAUGGAGGAAGAUGAAUCCUUCCUUGAUGCGAAAGAUACCUCCCCUGUUCCUCGGUCAUAUGAAAAUUGAAA